GGUCCUGUGGUCUAGUUGGUUAGGACGUUUCCUUUACACCGUAAAGAAAUCGGAAAAGAUCCCCGGUUCGAGCCCGGGCGGGAUCA